AGCGAACGCUGGCGGCAGGCUUAACACAUGCAAGUCGAACGGACCCUUCGGGGUUAGUGGCGGACGGGUGAGUAACACGUGGGAACGUGCCCUUCGGUUCGGAAUAACUCAGGGAAACUUGAGCUAAUACCGGAUACGCCCUUUUGGGGAAAGGUUUACUGCCGAAGGAUCGGCCCGCGUCUGAUUAGCUAGUUGGUGGGGUAAUGGCCUACCAAGGCGACGAUCAGUAGCUGGUCUGAGAGGAUGAUCAGCCACACUGGGACUGAGACACGGCCCAGACUCCUACGGGAGGCAGCAGUGGGGAAUCUUGCACAAUGGGGGAAACCCUGAUGCAGC
rnacentral:rRNA from 1 species